AAUGAACGCUGGCGGCAGGCCUAACACAUGCAAGUCGAGCGAACCUUCGGGUUAGUGGCGCACGGGUGCGUAACACGUGGGAAUAUACAUUUCGGUAAGGAAUAACACAGAGAAAUUUGUGCUAAUACCUUAUAAUGACUCCGGUCCAAAGAUUUAUCGCCGAAGGAUUAGCCCGCGCUAGAUUAGUUUGUUGGUGAGGUAAGAGCUCACCAAGACUACGAUCUAUAGCUGGUCUUAGAGGAUGAUCAGCCACACUGGAACUGAGACACGGUCCAGACUCCUACGGGAGGCAGCAGUGAGGAAUAUUGGACAAUGGGGGCAACCCUGAUCCAGCCAUGCCGCGUGAAUGAAGAAGGCCUUAGGGUUGUAAAAUUCUUUCAGAUGCGAAGAUAAUGACGGUACCAUCAGAAGAAGCUCCGGCUAAAUUCGUG
rnacentral:rRNA from 1 species